rnacentral:SRP_RNA from 2 species
UUGCAGGCUAGGUCGGAGAGCUAGUCCCUCUCUGUUACUGUACCCGGACUUAGACAGGACCGAAGCUUGGAGAGCGACGUAUUGUCUAUGGGAGAUCCUUAAUCUUGACGAUGAGGCUUUGUCCCCUUUGAUCUAAUACUAGCGAACCGGGUCAGGCUCGGAAGAGUGCAGCCCUAAGUUAUUAUUCUGAUGCUUUGGGGAGCGCAAGGCUUAGGAGAGCUUGAGGGCAAUCUUCCACAAGUGAUGCUUCCACCUCCAAGCGCGCCUGCUU